GGGGGGACCCCGGGAGCCCGGGAGACGCGGACAGAGAGCGGGGGCUGGAAACGCUCAAGGAUGGCUUCUCCUGUUCCACUCCCAGUCCAAGUUGUACCACAGAAGACAGCCACCGGGUGUCACUGACAGUUAUCCAUGGGCCUCUCUAAUAUCUGCACAUCUCACAAGCAGGGGUGUGGACGGCUUUGGCUCCAGCUGUCCUUUCAAGGAUGUUUGUAGAGCAAACAGCACUGGAGGAUAGAGAGAGGUUCUUCCUGUGGAGCAGAAUGGAGGCUUGUUUGCUCUCCAUAGAAUCAAGCACAUCAUGGUGGCAGCAUGUGGCCGAGCAAAAUCCCUCACCUCAUCAGCCAGGAAGCCAAAAGGAGGAAGGAGAAGGGGCUGGGUCCCUCGGUUCCUCUUGAGGGACUGGCGCUGCUUCGCUCAUGGUGCAGCGUGGAAGGGCGCUGGCACGUGGUGUGCAGAAGAGACAAUGCGACAGGUGGCUCGCUUCCUAACAGCCCGCUCCUGCAGUCCCUGAUCCAGCCUGGCGCUUGAGGUCCCCAGCGCCUCUGCUGAGGCUGUAUCUGUCUGUCUGCCAAAGCUAUCAUCACUUACUCAAUGUUUUUUUUUUUU